CCUACGGGGGGCUGCAGUGGGGAAUAUUGGACAAUGGGCGAAAGCCUGAUCCAGCCAUGCCGCGUGUGUGAAGAAGGCCUUCGGGUUGUAAAGCACUUUCAGUGGGGAAGAAAGCCUUGGGGCUAAUACCCUCGAGGAAGGACAUCACCCACAGAAGAAGCACCGGCUAACUCCGUGCCAGCAGCCGCGGUAAUACGGAGGGUGCGAGCGUUAAUCGGAAUUACUGGGCGUAAAGCGCGCGUAGGCGGUCUGAUAAGCCGGUUGUGAAAGCCCCGGGCUCAACCUGGGAACGGCAUCCGGAACUGUCAGGCUAGAGUGCAUGAGAGGAAGGUAGAAUUCCCGGUGUAGCGGUGAAAUGCGUAGAGAUCGGGAGGAAUACCAGUGGCGAAGGCGGCCUUCUGGGCUGACACUGACGCUGAGGUGCGAAAGCGUGGGUAGCAAACAGGAUUAGAUACCCCAGUAGUC
rnacentral:rRNA from 1 species